UUCGGUCUCCUCCGUCCGCCCCCCCUCCCCCGCUUUGCUUUUUCCUCUGUCUUUUUAAUUCUCAAUCUGCUUAACCAGGCUUUAGAAGCCAAGCAAAUCUGAGAUCAAUUUUCUCGUUUAGCUCUAAAUGACAUCAUCUAAAAUCAUUGUGCAAGGGCUAAAUAAGGAAACAGACUCUAAUUCAGGGGCAAACGCCAGGCUAUAUUUAUCAAACGCCAGGCUCUAGAAAGCCACGGCCAGGAAGCCUCCGGCAGCGAAAUCCUAGCCUUCCCCGCUUGGUUUCUCCCGGCCGGUGCUGGACCUGAGUGGGAGCCGCGCCUCCUCCUCCGCAGUCUCUCUCCUCCUCUGGGGCCCGGGACCAAGGACUCCCGGAGUCCCGAAGUCUCCGCGGCCCGAACCGACUCUGGACCAUUUGGAAGACGCCAGCAGGUAACUGGCCUCCCUAAAUGCCUCUGAGAAUUAAAGGCCUACCGGAGGAUUGUUUUGUGUUUGUGGUUUUGUAAGUGCGAUGCCACGACAAAAGCUUGGGAGAGACACACUCCAUCC
rnacentral:lncRNA from 1 species